CCUACGGGUGGCAGCAGUGGGGAAUAUUGCACAAUGGGGGAAACCCUGAUGCAGCAACGCCGCGUGAAGGAAGACGGUUUUCGGAUUGUAAACUUCUGUUCGUAGGGAAGAAGAAUGACGGUAGCGAAGGAGCAAGCCACGGCUAACGACGUGCCAGCAGCCGCGGUAAUACGUAGGGGGCAAGCGUUGGCCGGAAUUACGGGGUGUAAAGGGAGCGCAGGCGGGACGCCAAGUCAGCUGUGAAAACUACGGGCUUAACUUGUAGACUGCAGUUGAAACGGGUUUUCUUGAGUGAAGUAGAGGUUGGCGGAAUUCCGAGUGUAGCGGUGAAAUGCGUAGAUAUCAGGCAGAACACCAGUGGCGAAGGCGGAUGUCUGGACGGCAACUGACGGUGAGGCGCGAAAGCGUGGGGAGCAAACAGGAUUAGAUACCCCAGUAGUC
rnacentral:rRNA from 1 species